rnacentral:rRNA from 1 species
GACGAACGCUGGCGGCGUGCUUAACACAUGCAAGUCGAGCGGAAAGGCCACUUCGGUGGUACUCGAGCGGCGAACGGGUGAGUAACACGUGAGUAAUCUGCCCUUGGCUUUGGGAUAGCCACCGGAAACGGUGAUUAAUACCGGAUAUGACCACUUCACGCAUGUGAUGGUGGUGGAAAGUUUUUCGGCCAGGGAUGUGCUCGCGGCCUAUCAGCUUGAUGGUGAGGUAAUGGCUCACCAUGGCUUCGACGGGUAGCCGGCCUGAGAGGGUGACCGGUCACACUGGGACUGAGACACGGCCCAGACUCCUACGGGAGGCAGCAGUGGGGAAUAUUGGACAAUGGGCGGAAGCCUGAUCCAGCAACGCCGCGUGAGGGAUGACGGCCUUCGGGUUGUAAACCUCUUUCGCCUAUGACGAAGCGCAAGUGACGGUAAUAGGUAAAGAAGCACCGGCCAACUACGUGCCAGCAGCCGCCGUAAGAC